rnacentral:rRNA from 1 species
CCUACGGGAGGCUGCAGUGGGGAAUAUUGGACAAUGGGGGCAACCCUGAUCCAGCCAUGCCGCGUGUGUGAAGAAGGCCCUCGGGUUGUAAAGCACUUUCAGUGAGGAAGAACGCCUGGUGGUUAAUACCCAUCAGGAAAGACAUCACUCACAGAAGAAGCACCGGCUAACUCCGUGCCAGCAGCCGCGGUAAUACGGAGGGUGCGAGUGUUAAUCGGAAUUACUGGGCGUAAAGCGCGCGUAGGUGGCUUGAUAAGCCGGUUGUGAAAGCCCCGGGCUCAACCUGGGAACGGCAUCCGGAACUGUCAAGCUAGAGUGCAGGAGAGGAAGGUAGAAUUCCCGGUGUAGCGGUGAAAUGCGUAGAGAUCGGGAGGAAUACCAGUGGCGAAGGCGGCCUUCUGGACUGACACCGACACUGAGGUGCGAAAGCGUGGGUAGCAAACAGGAUUAGAUACCCUUGUAGUC